AGCCUCCGUUGCCGCCAUCGCCGCUGUCCAGCAUUCCAGCAGCUUUCUGCUCUACUCCACACCGUCGCCGUUCGUAUCCCGACCCAUCCGAACCGGUACAGUGCGUCUCGAGCUGGAAAGAUAUCUUGCAUCGCACAGCCGUCACGGUUCGGGUGCGUUCGAGCAUUGAGUGCGUUUAGUCGUUUGCCUUUCGCGCUUACCUUUGUGUGGCUGUUUAGUUAUGCAUACAGUGCAUGAUUAAAGGCAUUCUUCAUGCGACUAGUCAUGUCAUGUUUCUGUGUUUUGUGCGCGAACACGAUCAACGUGUCGGUGCAAGGAUAUCGCGAUAAAGUGUCUCCACCGGCUUCCUUGCACUGCUGCUGCGCGCGGUUUGUCCGGCCACCGGAGUUUCAUUAGGUUUCGGCCUGCUUCACUGCUCGCGCCGUGUCACUGGUAAAGAAUUACCGGCUGUCAGGGCUGUCAGCUCUGCUGCCCAUUCGCGUCGGAGCCGCUAAACGCUUGAACUUCACCUGACACACGGACACACGGAGCGGUGGCGGGGUGGAAUGGUCGACCGGAGCGGACCGGCACAAUUUACAUCCAAUCAUGGUCUUCCUCCACAAAUCACACACGUGUAUGGUUGUAGCACGCAACCGGGAGUAAUGAAGAUAUACAUCGACAGGCCGUUCGUGCUCACGACGACAGUGCGUCGUCGAACGAUCGAUCGAACGAUCGAAACAGAUCGUUCAUCGUUAGUCGCCGAUAAAGCGAGCUACGGCUAAUAUUCCCACCGCUUCGCUUGCCAAAAGGCGCCAAUGAACAUCUCAUUGGGCCGGACGGGGAGCGAUCGCGAUAGGAGUAGGAAGAACCCGAUCGUGUCCGACGAUCAACAGGCCGGACCGCGGCAGUGUCCGACCACUGCGGUGUGUGUGUGAGUUAAGGUCUGCGUUUUUAAUCGGUUUUUCGAUUUCACUUAACUAAGAAUGAUCGCGGCGGCGAUUAAGAGCUGUCCGUGCGCGCCGAUCCAACAAACGAGCGCGGGCCAUAAAUUAUGCGAAUGAAGUUACAAAAGAGUAACAACCGUAGAUUAUCUUAACCGGCCACUACGCUCACCGGGCCGCAUCGCCGACGACCGUAUCUUGAAGGUUUCCCCAUAAUAAACCACUUCCACCUGCCACCCGCUCCCUCGCUUCCACUUCCACGGAAUUGACAGCCCGAGAACCCGAGAGUUCGCUUACCCAACGACGCGACAGUAAGCGGCUGAUCGCUGAUCGCUCCAUUCAACGUUACCAUCGCCAUCAUCAUGUCCCGCCCGAUGUCCCGCACGGAGCACCUCUUUUAAUCUCCUUCGGCGCAGCAGCCGAUCACGGUGGACACGAAUGAACAGAAGGAAUCCCAUCAUCCAACGGCGAGUUAAAAAAUCACCAACAGCAGUACCACUAAUAAGAACUCUCACCUCGCCGCCUUGCGGGCGCUGGGACGAUCCAAUCUUCGGGACAGAGUGAGAAAUAAAGGAAACACAACAAGGCGAAAAAAAAUGCUGUCGAUAAAAUUUACGAUACACCAUAAAAUACAAAUAUUUCACGUAAUUUGAUAUUUCUCCAAGUUCAUCUAUAAACGUAAUGAGGCAAUUAAUUAUUCCUUUUUUAUUGGGGAAUAUAUUUUAUUUUGUCAUAAAUAAAGACACGCUGCUGAGCUAAACGA